AUGGAUUUGAUCUGAUGGUUGUAAAGUGGUGGGCUUAUUGCUGGAUUUUUGAUUGGGCUUUUUUGGGCUUAUGAUUGGGCUUAUUGUUGGGUUGAUUUAGUGGAUGGGGCUGAUUCGGCCUUCAAGAAAUUCCAACUUCCAUUUUUAACUGCUAAAACUGUUGUUCCCUCUUUCAUUUCCAUUUUCCACGCUUCCACAAAUCAAUUCUUUCUUCCCUAAUUCUCACAAUCUUCUGCUCUUUCUUUUCAAUGGCUGCUGCUAGUAUUUCAUCAUAUAGAGAUCGAAUAUCAGAAUUCCGAUCGUAUAAUGAAACCUAGAAGGAAAUCGGAGGAAUCUCAGCUAUCAAUUUAAUCGGGAUUCUUCCAUUUACGGUAAUAAAGUGCCGGAGCAAAUGUCAUCAUCGGAAGGCAGAAGAUGGGUACUGAGAAUUAUCAUCAAACAACAUGAAAAUGUUUAUGCUGCUGCAGGUUCCUCUUCAGCAAGACAAUUACUCACUAAAUCGUGCCACGGCUCUAUAGAAUGUAGAAUCUACAAUCUCAAAAAAAGUGGGAGCUUAUGCAUCUCGGUAAAAUGGUGGCACAUCAGGGGGAGCUAUUAGGUAAUUGGUCUCUUGACUGUAAUAAUAACCUUAUUGCAAACCAUAACUUGAAAUAUCUAGCACACUAGGGUCUAAAGGUUCAAACUUUAUCCCUAACACCCAAAAACAAUGGUAGAAGUGUUCUAUGCAAUAAAACAAGCACUUCAAUAAACUAGCAAUGAAAAGCAAUGAGAAAUAAUGCAAUAAACAAAAAACACAAAAUUUACGAGGUUCACCCAAUGUGGGCUACGUCCUCGGUGGUGGUUAGCUUGCUUGUAUUAUGUGAAGAACUAAUGGAGUUCUCAAGAACUCAUACAAUGGAGAAUAUUACACUUGGAGAAGAAGAGUAGAGAAAAGAAGAGUUUGUGUUUAGCUUAGGGUUAGAAUCAACAUGGGAAUGUGUGUAGGGACUUCUAUUUAUACAUGUGUACAUAUGGAAGUAAAUGAGGAAAGGGCCUAGCCCUAAUGAUUAGCCGCAGUAUUUAUCAAAGAAAUAGUGGCAUGCUGCUUCUCGCUCGACCCGGUCGAGCCAAAUCAGGGGAGGUCGAGCGGCUUUGCAUCUUGGUCGAGCAGCAGUCCAGAAAGCUACUGACUUGGUCGAGCCACAUGAUUCGAUCAAGCAGAUUGUCAUCAUGGUCGAGCAGCCCAUCAAACCACCUCUCUCAUCAUCAUACACACACAUAUGCACAUACAUACACCAUCAACCUCUUCACACUCCAUUUGGUGCACUCAAAGUCACACCAAACUCCAACAUAACUAUCCAUUUGUUCCUAUAGGUUUGUUGAUCCAGAAGAAGGGAAUUCUUUGUACAUUUUUUUAUAAAUGCCAACCUUCUGGUAUAUGUAAGGAUGUAUAUAUAAUUGUGUCAUAUAAACAAAAAUAAAUGAUUGAAUAAUGAUAUUUGAACGAGGAAGCUAGAGCGG